GAAUGGUCUCCUGGUUGCAGAGAGCAAUGUCCUUGACUUCUGGAACAGGGAGCUUUGAUUUUCAUACUGCCAUGUUUCUCUAGUGAUCUGGAGUAAAGAGCAAAGGUCAAAUACUUGAGGUCUGUCAUGGAUCUGUACACAGCCUCCCUGAGUCUCCAGCCUCAAAGUAAAACCAGAGGUUUCUGCUGACAUGGAACAUGGACAAGAGAAUGGCCAAGAUGGAGGCUGACCAAGGGCUGUUCCUGCUCACCCAUGCUACUCACCAGAAGCUCUGUGGAAAAGUGGAAACUAUGUCCCUGGUCUUCCUUUCAGGACUUGGCUGAGAUCAGGCUACUUCUUGAGAGGCCUGGAUUCAACUGAGGAAUAUCAUUUUGGAAAAUAUAGAAACUUCUAGACU
rnacentral:lncRNA from 1 species